CUAGCGAACGGCUAGCAUACGUUUGGCAUAACUAUGUGGAUGUUACAAGAUUCACCCAAUACACCAUGGCAAGCUGUAGGCGUCUCAUCGAUAAAGGCAUCUCCCCACCCUCCACCUGGAGAGCUGGGAUUGAAGAAGUCUUGACUGCACCACAACACAGACGAAGGGCUUGUGCCUGAACCAAGUCAAGCUUUUAAAACCGGAAACCCCACCUGUUUCCCCUCUUCUCAACAAUGCUGACUGCUGCCUUUAGCUUCUUUCCAACAAAUGCUGCAUUACGCCCACUCACCCACAAUGCCCCAUCAUCUGCAUAUAAAGACCUCCCAAGUCUAGCAUCAACCUCUGAA